CCGAGAUGAACCCGCAGUUCUCUAACCCUCGGUCUGCAUGCAUCGUACAGGUACGCGGGUAUAGUGUUAUAUACAUGAUUGUUUUAUCAACAUAAUAAAAAUAACCAGGACAGUCCGGCAAAUCAAUAAUAAACUUGUUAAAAAACACCUCUGAAAUGUUUUGUAUUAUGAUAAAAUCUUUCGAAUAAACGAGGUGUGCUUUGUAACUAGUUUGUUGCGUGGUAGUGGCAGGCAAAACCUUCUAGUCGGACUUUGGCCUUCAGUUAGCUCCGCUUAGCUAGUAGUGCAUGUGGCUCGUGCUAUCCCCGAUGCGAUGCAUGGGCAAAGAGCGAAGCUCUGUUUGUUCUUGUAGCGCUCUGUCAAUUUGCAUUUCUAGACGAAAUCUUGAUUAAAUAUAACAGGAGCAGCAUCAAAAACAUUGGCUGAACAUUCAAGGGAUAAAUGCACAGGAGUUAAUCACUCACGAGAAUUAGUAAUCGAUCUAUGAGGAAGUAAACGCCUGACUGUGUUGUAAACAACAGUGCCUGAAUUCACGUGAGAAAUACCAAGCUUCAUGGAUGCUAUGAUGAUUUGCCCAUAGUGAAUGCUUAUGUACGAGUGACAUAUUAAACAGCAUUGGUCCAAACAUGGAGCCUUGUAUGAAUUCAAACGGGACGUAUAACUGCUCCAUAGGUUUUCCCGUAUUCAGUGUAACCCAACCAUCUUGGUGUUUAGAAUCUACGACAGAUGAGCCUUCAACAACCAUCACAGAUAGUAUUACUACUUUGGUAUCGAAUAUUACAACAUCCCUCUUUACGGAGCCAACUACCAGUAGCAGAGAUGAGCCUUCAACAACCAUCACAGAUAUUAUUACUACUUUGGUAUCGAAUGCUACAACAUCCCUCUUUACGGAGCCAGCUACCAUUAGUACAGGUAAAAAUGGUCAGAUUAUGUUUAAUGAAAAGCUUUUAA